rnacentral:rRNA from 1 species
CAAUAGCGUAUAUUAAAGUUGUUUGCAGUUAAAAACGACUCGUAGUCGGAUUUCGGGGCCUGCCUGCCGGUCUGCCGAUGGGUAUGCACUGGCAGGCGCGUCCUUCCUUCCGGAGACUGUCCCUACUCUUAACUGAGCGGGGUCGGGAGACGGAUCGUUUACUUUGAAAAAAUCAGAGUGUUUACAAGCAGGCAGCUCGCUCUUGCAUGGAUUAGCAUGGGAUAAUGAAAUAGGACUUUGGUGCUAUUUUGUUGGUUUUCGAACACCGAAGUAAUGAUUAACAGGGACAGUCAGGGGCACUCGUAUUCCGCCGAGAGAGGUGAAAUUCUCAGACCAGCGGAAGACGAACCACUGCGAAAGCAUUUGCCAGGGAUGUUUUCACUGAUCAAGAACGAAAGUUAGGGGAU